GAUGAAGAACGCAGCGAAAUGCGAUAAGUGGUGUGAAUUGCAGAAUUCAGUGAAUCAUCGAAUCUUUGAACGCACAUUGCGCCCCUUGGUAUUCCAUGGGGCAUGCCUGUUCGAGCGUCAUUUGUACCUUCAAGCUCUGCUUGGUGUUGGGUGUUUGUCUCGCCUCUGCGUGUAGACUCGCCUCAAAACAAUUGGCAGCCGGCGUAUUGAUUUCGGAGCGCAGUACAUCUCGCGCUUUGCACUCAUAACGACGACGUCCAAAAGUACAUUUUUACACUCUUGACCUCGGAUCAGGUAGGGAUACCCGCUGAACUUAAGCAUAUCAAUAAGCGGAGGA
rnacentral:misc_RNA from 1 species